CGGAAGGAUCAUUAUUGAAGUUGAUUCGGGCUGUCGCUGGCUCUUAGGAGCAUGUGCACGCUCGUUCAUAUUCUUAUUCUCUUGUGCACCUUUAGCUAGACUAUGAAUACCUCUCGAGCGUAAAUCUCGGAUGGAGGGUUGCGCUUCAGCUUCCCUUGCAUUUUCAUAGUCUAUGUCUUCAUAUACCCUUUGUAUGUCUCUGAAUGCUUUUUUUGUGGGUUCUUGUAACCUAUAAAAUGUUAGUACAACUUUCAACAACGGAUCUCUUGGCUCUCGCAUCGAUGAAGAACGCAGCGAAAUGCGAUAAGUAAUGUGAAUUGCAGAAUUCAGUGAAUCAUCGAAUCUUUGAACGCACCUUGCACCCUUUGGUAUUCCGAAGGGUAUGCCUGUUUGAGUGUCAUUAAAUUCUCAACCAUUGAACUUGUUUCUUUGGCUUGGAUGUGGGGGUUGCCGGCUUUGCAAAGAAGUCGGCUCUCCUUAAAUGCAUUAGUGGAAACCGCUUGCAGGAUUCAUUCACUUUUUGGCGUGAUAGUAUCGUCGUCAUGAAGGUCAUGUCUCCGAGGUAUCUGCUCUCUAACUGUCCGUAAGGACUCUUAAUGACUU
rnacentral:rRNA from 1 species